UACCAGCACCCCGAGUGGUCGGGACGUUUAUUGGGCCUAAAGCAUCCGUAGCCGGUUCUACAAGUCUUCCGUUAAAUCCAACUGCUUAACAGAUGGGCUGCGGAGGAUACUACAGGGCUAGGAGGCGGGAGAGGCAAGCGGUACUUUAUGGGUAGGGGUAAAAUCCGUUGAUCCAUAGAAGACCACCAGUGGCGAAGGCGGCUUGCCAGAACGCGCUCGACGGUGAGGGAUGAAAGCUGGGGGAGCAAACCGG
rnacentral:rRNA from 1 species